AGAGUUUGAUCCUGGCUCAGAACGUACGCUGGCGGCACGCCUAACACAUGCAAGUCGAACGCAGUAGCAAUACUGAGUGGCGAACGGGUGAGUAUAAUGUGGGUAUCUGCCUUUUGGUUUGGAAUAACACGAGGAAACUUGUGCUAAUACCGGAUAAGCCCUUACGGGGAAAGUUUUAACGCCAAGAGAUGAGCCCACACUUGAUUAGCUUGUUGGUAAGGUAAAAGCUUACCAAGGCUACGAUCAAUAGCUGAUCUGAGAGGAUGAUCAGCCACAUUGGGACUGAGACACGGCCCAAACUCCUACGGGAGGCAGCAGUGGGGAAUCUUGCACAAUGGGGGAAACCCUGAUGCAGCGAUGCCGCGUGAGUGAAGAAGGCCUUUGGGUUGUAAAGCUCUUUCGUCGGGGAAGAAAAUGACUGUACCCGAAUAAGAAGGUCCGGCUAACUUCGUGCCAGCAGCCGCGGUAAUACGAAGGGACCUAGCGUAGUUCGGAAUUACUGGGCUUAAAGAGCUCGUAGGUGGUUAAGAAAGUUGGUGGUGAAAUCCCAAGGCUUAACCUUGGAACUGCCACCAAAACUUUUUAACUAGAGUAUGAUAGAGGUAAGCGGAAUUUCUAGUGUAGAGGUGAAAUUCGUAGAUAUUAGAAAGAACACCAAUUGCGAAGGCAGCUUUCUGGAUCAUUACUGACACUGAGGAGCGAAAGCAUGGGUAGCGAAGAGGAUUAGAUACCCUCGUAGUCCAUGCCGUAAACGAUGUGUGCUAGACGUUGGAAAUUUUAUUUUCAGUGUCGCAGCAAAAGCGUUAAGCACACCGCCUGGGGAGUACGACCGCAAGGUUAAAACUCAAAUGAAUUGACGGGGACCCGCACAAGUAGUGGAGCAUGUGGUUUAAUUCGAAGAUACGCGCAGAACCUUACCAACACUUGACAUGUUCGUCGCGACUCUAAGAGAUUAGAGUCUUCGGUUCGGCCGGACGAAACACAGGUGCUGCAUGGCUGUCGUCAGCUCGUGUCGUGAGAUGUUGGGUUAAGUCCCGCAACGAGCGCAACCCUUACUUUUAGUUGCCAUCAUUUAGUUGGGAACUCUAAAAGAACUGCCAGUGAUAAGCUGGAGGAAGGUGGGGAUGACGUCAAGUCCUCAUGGCCCUUACGUGUUGGGCUACACACGUGCUACAAUGGCAUUUACAAUAGGAAGCGAGAUGGCGACAUCAAGCAAAUCCUAAAAAAAUGCCUCAGUUCGGAUUGUACUCUGCAACUCGAGUACAUGAAGCUGGAAUUGCUAGUAAUCGCGGAUCAGCGCGCCGCGGUGAAUACGUUCCCGGGUCUUGUACACACCGCCCGUCACACCAUGGAAGUUGGUUCUACCUUAAGGCAAAGUGUAAAAUCUUUGACUACGGUAUAGUCAGCGACUGGGGUGAAGUCGUAACAAGGUAACC
rnacentral:rRNA from 1 species